rnacentral:rRNA from 1 species
UACGUAGGGGGCGAGCGUUGUCCGGAUUUAUUGGGCGUAAAGAGCUCGUAGGCGGUUCGGUAAGUCAGGUGUUAAAACUCCAGGCUCAACUUGGAGAGGCCACCUGAUACUGCCGUGACUAGAGUUCGGUAGAGGAGCACGGAAUUCCUGGUGUAGCGGUGAAAUGCGCAGAUAUCAGGAGGAACACCAGCGGCGAAGGCGGUGCUCUGGGCCGACACUGACGCUGAGGAGCGAAAGCGUGGGUAGCGAACAGG